rnacentral:snRNA from 1 species
AUCGCUUCUCGGCCUUUUGGCUAAGAUCAAGUGUAAGAUCUAGGAGACAUUACCAUAGAUUUUACAGAAUUUAAAAGGAUAUAGAAAGCAUAUUACAAAAAUCUUUUUUGAAAUAAAUUUGACAACUUCU